rnacentral:rRNA from 1 species
UGUGGAUAGGGGUGAAAAGCCAAACGAACACGGAGAUAGCUGGUUCUCCUCGAAAUAGCUUUAGGGCUAGCCUCUAGUGGAAAUGUGAAAAGGGGGUAGAGCACUGAAUGGUCGCGGGGCAUGCAUAUGUUACCAAGACCUAUCAAACUCCGAAUACCAUAUCACACACUAGGGAGUCAGACUAUGUGGGAUGAGCUUCAUAGUCGAAAGGGAAAGAGCCCAGACCAUCAGCUAAGGUCCCAAAAUUAUAGUUAAGUGGGAAAGGAUGUGGAGUUACUGAGACAACUAGGAUGUUGGCUUAGAAGCAGCCACUCAUUCAAAGAGUGCGUAAUAGCUCACUAGUCAAGUGACUCUGCGCCGAAGAUAACCGGGGCUAAACUAUAUACCGAAGCUAUGGAACGUAUAACGUUGGUAGAGGAGCAAUGUAUGAAGGACGAAGCAGAAGUCGUAAGGCACUGUGGACAUCAUACAAGAGAGAAUGCUGGCAUGAGUAGCGAGAGGUGAGUGAGAAUCUCACCCGUCGAAAACCCAAGGAUUCCUGAGCAAGGCUCGUCCACUCAGGGUAAGUCGGGACCUAAGGCGAGGCUGAAAAGCGUAGUCGAUGGACAACAGGUGGAAAUUCCUGUACCGAUACAAUCGUUAAAAAGGAAGUGGGGACGCAGGAGGAAAGUAAGAGCGCCCAGUUGGUGAGGCGUGCAAGCGCAAAGUCUGGAAAGUAGGCAAAUCCGCUUUCCGAAAAGGAUGAAGCGUGAUGCGGAUCGAAAACAAGUAGAGAAGCUUACGAAUCCACACUGCCAAGAAAAGCCACUACAAGAGAAGUAUCGCCCGUACCGUAAACCGACACAGGUAGGUGAGGAGAGAAUCCUAAGACGAGCGGAAAAACCUUUGUUAAGGAACUCGGCAAAAUGACCCCGUAACUUCGGGAGAAGGGGAGCCCCUGUAACAGGGGGCCGCAGUGAAAAGGCCCAAGCGACUGUUUACCAAAAACACAAGUUUCUGCAAAGUCGAAAGACGAAGUAUAGGAGCUGACACCUGCCCGGUGCUGGAAGGUUAAGGGAAAAAGUUAGCGCAAGCGAAGCUUAGAACUGAAGCCCCAGUAAACGGCGGCCGUAACUAUAACGGUCCUAAGGUAGCGAAAUUCCUUGUCGGGUAAGUUCCGACCCGCACGAAAGGUGUAACGAUUUGGGCACUGUCUCAACAAAGGAUCCGGUGAAAUUGUAGUAGCGGUAAAGAUGCCGCUUACCCACGACAGGACGGAAAGACCCC